rnacentral:lncRNA from 1 species
AGAAUUUUUUUGGCAUGUUUUGUUUUUUAUUAUGAUGGGCAUUUAAGAAAUAACAAUUUAAUUUUAAAAGAGAUAAAAAGAAAUCUUGUGUAGCAACGUCUGCAGUUGUUAGUUACAAUUAAGAGUUCAUUUUCAAAGAGACAAAGUUGUAUUAUGACUUUAUCCAUUUUCAGAACUAUCAUUGUACUUUAAGUCUAAAAGCGAAAAUGUUAGGUUCUGUUGGUCAAAAAGACUAUGUUGACUUGUUGUUUUUAACCCAACUCUUUAAUCAAAGUUUGAUGGUGGUAUUUUGUUACAAGGUAAGAAAGUUAAAACUUUGCAAGCCCUGGGUAAGGAUAAAUUUAAGUGUCUAGAUCAGCUGAAUUUACAAAGGUUGAUAAAGGCAACCUUUCUGUCUUCAGGGGAGGGUGGGGAUACUCAACCCUGACUGGUCUGAAAAGAUGUGGAUAAAGGUGUUGUUGCC